ACUGCUGUAGUUUAAAAAAAACACCGAUCUUGUAAGUCGGGAGACGGGGAGUUUUUCCCCCGCCAGUAG
rnacentral:tRNA from 1 species